AAAAAGACCGAAAUACACUCCUCCCACUCAGUACAUUGAAUUACCGGUGAAUGUGUCUCUGCUCACACUGAUAACGCGGAGCUUUUAUUUCCAAAGCGAACCAAAACACACACAGAGGACGGAGAAACUGACAUUAUGAAACGGGACUUAUUUUGGCCAACGUUCCACCGUUGCCAUUGACACCGUCCGGUUUUCUCCUUUUGUUUUUCGGUGUAAAACUUCGGCUCUGUCAGCAUUUACCGCUACCGACCACCCACCUCUCACUCGGUACCUUUCACACGGGUUGUCCCCGUUUGACUUUCGGGUGUGGUGGCAUCUUUAACGGGCAGAAAGAAAAAAUAACUUCACCGUGUGCCGUAAAACGAACUGAAUCAAAGAAAAGUGGGAGCAGACAGGAUACCCCAUAGACAGUGGGAUGUUCGAGCUCUGGAUGCAGGACUGACUGAAGGAGCAUGGUGAAACACCAACCCCUCCAGGUCUAUGAGCGCCAGCUGUGUUUGUCCUGUAUCACUGGGAUCUACGGUUGCCGCUGGAAACGCUAUCAACGUUCCCAUGAUGACACCACCAAGUGGGAGCUGCUGUGGUCCAUCAUCCUCCUCUUCACCUUCUGUCUGCUGCUGGUCUGGUUCUACUUCUGGUGGGAAGCACAUAACGACUACAAUGAGUUUAACUGGUUCCUGUACAACCGCUCUGGGGAGUGGAGUGAUGGCACUGUUCCCAUCCUGGCCACCACUGCUGCUGGCUUCACCUACAUUGCAUUCUUAAUGGUUCUAGCACUUUGCCACGUUGCACUUGGGCAACAGCUAAAUUUGCACUGGCUCCAUAAGAUAGGAGUGACUGCUGCUCUGCUCACCACCGUUAUCGGGGUGAUAUCUGUCAAUCAAACAUGGGGGCAAGAGUGGGAUGUCAUCCCCAUCUCGCUGCAGGCCACAGGUCCUUUCCUGCACAUAGGGGCUCUGGCUGCGGUCACAGCGCUGUCGUGGAUCGUGGCGGGACAGGUCGCCCGCUCAGAAAAAACAAUGUUCCAGGUGGUGGUGGUGCUGCUGUAUCUCAGUGUGCUGCUGGGUCUCUACGUGGUGCCGCUGUACAUCUCCUCCCCCUGCAUCAUGGACCCCAGCACCCUCAAACAACGCCCUGAUGUCAUUGGCCACCAAGGAGCCCCCAUGCUUGCUCCAGAGAACACACUGUGGUCUUUCCAGCGUGCUCUGCAGAUGAACGUCACCGGGUUGGAGGCUGACGUGGCUAUCAGUGUGGACGGAGUGCCUUUCCUGAUGCACGACCGCACCCUGCGGAGGACCACAGACGUGGGGAAGGUGUUCCCCGACAGACACAUGGAAGACGCCUCAUCCUUCAACUGGACAGAUCUGCGGCAGCUCAACGCCGGACAGUGGUUCCUCAAGGAUGACCCUUUCUGGACGGUGCACACCCUGUCGUCGCGUGAGAAGCGGCUGAUAGCCAAUCAGAGUGUGUGUAGCCUGGAGCAGCUUCUGCGGCUGGCUUCCUAUCACAACAGCACGGUGGUUUUCCGGCUCAGGAGACCCCCUCCGGAGCACCCCUGCUACGACAGCUGGAUCAAUGAUACACUGCAGGCUGUGCAGGAAUCUGGGGUUCCUCAGAGCCUGGUGAUGUGGACUCCAGAUGAACACAGAGCUCAGGUGAGGCAGCUGGCCCCCGGUCUGAUCCAGACCUCAGUGGAGAAACGGAGACUCCAGCGCCUCCAUCUGGACGGCAUUAGCCGGCUGCUGCUCCGAUACAACCAGGCCAGCACGCAGGAGAUCGGAAACUUCUCCCAGAGUAACAUCAGCAUCACGCUGUACACCAUCAACGAGCCCUGGCUGUACUCGGUGCUCUGGUGCAGCGGGGUGUCCUCCGUCUCCUCCGAGGCCUCACAUAUACUCAAAAAGGUGCCUUACCCCAUCUGGCUCAUGAGACCAGAUGAAUACUGCCUGAUGUGGGUGUCUGUGGACCUCAUCUCCUUCGCUGUAGUCAUAGGAAUAUUCAUUUUCCAGAACUAUCACAUGAUCAGGUAUCGAACCAGCGGCAUGCGCAGCUACAACCCGGAGCAGAUCAUGCUGAGCGCGGCCGCCGUCCGGAGGUCCAGCCGAGACCUGAACGUGAUGAAGGAGAAACUCAUCUUCUCAGGUCACCCCCAGUAGCGGCCUGUGUGAUGUGCUCCACCUCCUCUCCAUGUUUCCACCAGCAGGGACUACUUCCUUUUAUUCCAUUGCAUCCCUCGUUACCUGACUACUCUCCGCCUACACUCCCCCUCCCCCCCUUCAUCAAUCCAUCCAUCCCUUCAUGCACCAAUCCUCCCCCACUGCCCCCCCCACUGGAGACUACGGCAUGUGUAGGGGAGCUCAUAGACGCCCCAGUCUGUCUAGACAGCCUCUAGAGCUGGGGGUCAAAGAGGUGGGGAAUGGAGUCGGCAGUGCGGAGGAGCUGUACGAAGACAACGGCUACGACUACUAAAGCAACCAGGGCAUCAGCCAGUGACCGACUUGUGUGGACAGACCACUCAUCAUUCCUCUGACCUCCACCUCUGUCCUGCUGAGAAACUGACAGACUGCUGUAUCUGAUGGAGAGAAAAAAACAACCACUCAGUUGUGUACAUUCUGUAAAUAGUUUUGAGUUUGCUUGUCAGACAUACUGUAUAUCACACGGGACUACACGCACUUUUUAUUGACGGGAGUCGCCAAAUCUGUGGCCCGGAGAGGCCCCUCUGAGUUACAAUUAACGCUUGCUUCACUUAAAUAUGUUUCCAGAUUGUUUAUUUUCAGCUAAUUUUCCAAAGCAGUUAAUUGUUUUUAACCACUGUUCUUCUCGCGGCAGAUUUGUUUAGCUUUUAACGAGGCUUGGACGCAGCAUGACACUCGCUAACCGCUCCUUCCAUCAGCACUCCACUGUGCUGCUGUUCAUUCAUAUUUAUAUUUAAAGAGAAAAACAAAAAAACACCAACAAGCUGUUUACAGAAGUCCUGCCUUCUCCUCCAGGUGAAAUAUUCACAUGGUGUAUGUAAGAUAAUUAUUUUUGAAAGAGCCUGAAUGCUCGCCCCACCUUUGACCAGUGCAUGUGACUAAUAAUCAUAUCAGCUGAUGUAUGUGUUGGGGGGGUGAAGAUUUGUGCAGUCUUGUUAUUGUGAAUGUGUUUGGACUUUUUUUUUUAAAGAUGUGAUUGUUGUAUAGUGUGUAUUCAGGCUGGGUAUAUAUGUGUUGCCCUGUGUGCAGUGCUAUGUUGAGUGUGUUAUUGUACAUACAAAGGUGAACCAGUGUGUUUGAUGCUCCAGCCAACUAAGCAUUAUAUUUCACAAAUAAUUAUUGAACAAUGUGACCGUGAUGAACAAAAGCAAUAUCCGGGUCAUGAUGGAAGUCAUGGCACUGCCUCUGAGUCGCAGGGCAGUCUGCAGUGUGUUGUUGUUGACAGCUGCAUGCAUCCACGUGCUGGUUGGUGUCAAACGGACUGCUGAAGUGGGUGCUAAAUGUGAAAAUAAAGCUCUAAGCUAUUUGAAGGGACGCUACAGGGAUCACAACAGGCAGCACAGGGUCAAGGAAAUGGAUUGCCUUUUGUGUUUUCUUUAUUUGGGUAUUACUGUGCCUCAGAAGUAAACAAUACAAACAAAUAAUCUAAUAAAGGAGAUUUUAAAAUGGCA